ACGAACGCUGGCGGCGUGCUUAACACAUGCCGGUCGAACGGAAAGGCCCUGCUUUUGUGGGGUGCUCGAGUGGCGAACGGGUGAGUAACACGUGAGUAACCUGCCCUUGACUUUGGGAUAACUUCAGGAAACUGGGGCUAAUACCGGAUAGGAGCUCCUGCUGCAUGGUGGGGGUUGGAAAGUUUCGGCGGUUGGGGAUGGACUCGCGGCUUAUCAGCUUGUUGGUGGGGUAGUGGCUUACCAAGGCUUUGACGGGUAGCCGGCCUGAGAGGGUGACCGGCCACAUUGGGACUGAGAUACGGCCCAGGCUCCUACGGGAGGCAGCAGUGGGGAAUAUUGCACAAUGGGCGGAAGCCUGAUGCAGCAACGCCGCGUGCGGGAUGACGGCCUUCGGGUUGUAAACCGCUUUCGCCUGUGACGAAGCGUGAGUGACGGUAAUGGGUAAAGAAGCACCGGCUAACUACGUG
rnacentral:rRNA from 1 species